rnacentral:lncRNA from 1 species
ACGGGUGGGGCCCGCGCAGUCCGCCCGGAGGAUUCAACCCGGCGAGUUGCGGUCGGCCGGCGCGGGUUCGGCGGAUCCUCGCCUCCGCCUCCCCUCCGUCCCCCGGGCACCCGCCCGCGGGGGCGGGCCGGGGGGGGCGGGCCGGCGCGGGGACCGCCGCCCGGCCGGCGGCCGGCCCUGGCCGGGCGCAUUUCCUCCGCGGCGGUGCGCCGCGACCGGCUCCGGGUCGGCUGGGAAGGCCUCCGGCGGGCAGGUGGCCCGGCGCCGCGCGAGCGGCGGCGGGUGUUAGAGCCCCCGGGCAGCAGGUCUCGCCGAAUCCCGGGGCCGAGGGAGAGGACCGCCGCCGCGCCCUCCUCCCCCCCCCACCGCGCGCGCGGUGCAAGGGGGGGGCGCCUGUCCGCUGCCGUCUCCGGGCGGGGGGGUAGACCUGGUGCUCUCGCCGCGGGGCCGGGGCAGCCGGGGCAGCCGGGGCAGCCGGGGCAGCCGGGGCAGCCGGGGCAGCCGGGGCAGCCGGGGCAGCCGGGCCAGCCGGGCCAGCCGGGGCAGCCGCGCGUCGUCGCCCCUGCUGCCACGCCCGCGGGCUCCGUCGCGCUCGGCGCUUGGGGUGCGGGGAAGCGCGUGGCGUCCCUUCCCCUGGCCACCCUUCCUGGCGGGUGGCGGGUAGACCGACUCUCCCCGGCCGGACUUGGGCGCCUGGCGUUUGGCGGCGGGGUAGACCUGUUGCCCCCGUCAGGCCGUGCCGGCCCGGCCUGCCGCUCGGCGCCGGGGUACGCCUGGCAUCGCCGCCUGGCCCUGCCCGGCCUGGCGUUUCCAGGCGGCGGGGUAGACCUGCUGUCCCAGUCAGCCGGUCCCCAGCCUGCCGCCAGUCGGCGCCGGGGUAGACCUGUUCGCCGUCCUCGCCGCCCGGCCCUGCCCGGCCUGGCAAGUUGGCGCCGGGGUAGACCUGCUGUCCUCGCCGCCCGGCCCCGCCCGGCCUGCCGCUCGGCCUGCCGCUCGGCGCCGGGCUAGAGCUGCUGUCUUCCCCCGUCAGGCGGCGCCAGCCUGCCGCUUAGCGCCGGGGUAGACCUGUUGUCUUCCCCCGUCCGGCCCGAUGGGGUUUUUCCGUUUGGCCCCGGGCUAGAGCUGCUGUCUUCCCCCGUCAGGCGGCGCCAGCCUGCUGCUUAGCGCCGGGGUAGACCUGUUGUCUUCCCCCGUCCGGCCCGAUGAGGUUUUUCCGUUUGGCCCCGGGCUAGAGCUGCUGUCCCCGUCAGGCGGCGCCAGCCUGCUGCUUAGCGCCGGGGUAGACCUGUUGUCUUCCCCCGUCCGGCCCGAUGGGUUUGCCGUGUAGCGGCGGGCAGGCCUCUUGUUCCAGGCCCCGCUUGGAACUGUAGUGGCGUGAGCGGCCCGUAGAUUUGUUUCCUUUGUAGAUUUCUCCUCCUGGAGCUCGAGGCCUGCCGCCAGCGCCCCCCUCCCCCUCCCCCCCCCCCCCCCCCCCCGCCCCCCCCGCCCCCACCAUGUGGGUAGACCCGGCCUCCCCUCCUGGUGCUGGAGAGACCAGGUCUCGUCGAUCGGACCCGCAGCCCCGGGACCCAGUCCAGGCCCGCGAGCACGUCUCGGGCGGCCAGCCCGCACGUCCGGCCGCUCGCGCGCGCUGGUUCCCUCCCCCCCCCCCCCCCCCCCCCCCGAAAGCUGGGGCGUGAAGGCGAGUCACUGUCGGUCCCAGACGGCGGCGUCCCUGCCGGCUGCAUGCCUGAGCGGCCGUCAGCGUCACCCCCUGCCGCGCGCUUCCCCAGCUCCGGCCCGCCCUGCCGCCGCCCUGCCUGCAGCCCGCUCCCCCCGCCACUGCCGGAGAGGGAAGGAGGGACUCUUUAGGAGCCAGCGGCGUUCCCGCCGCCUCCGUGCCCAAACGGACAGCAGCGUCCGCUCUCUAAGCCCGGCUCCCGGCCCUCGAAAGCCUGCCGUGCCCUUGCCCCGCCUCGCACCUUGAUUUCUGCGUCUCUCACUCCCUCAUCCGCCCGCCUCGCUUCCGUCCUGCCGCAGCCUUGACCGGGGCUGGGGGUAGGCAGGAAGGAACGCCAUCGAACCAAAAGGCUCAGAGCGGCCGGAACAGGAUGCUUCUUCGAAAAGAGACAGCGCCAAGCAUCCCGCCACCACCUGCAGACGGUCGCUGGCCCUACUUCUGCACCAGGCUCUCGGCCUGCUCGCCGAACACCCUGGCCGCCUCGGCACCCAAGUCCUCGUCCCCCUGCUGCCGCUGCCGCCGCCGCCGCCGCCGCCGCCGCCGCCGAACUGGCUGAUGGGACCCCGGGCAGGGGCGGGAAAAGUCUGAGGGUGGCGCCAGGGAGGCUGAUGGUGGAGAGCAGGAGCGCCCCCAACCCUCGAGAGCCAGGGCGACGGAAGGGAGGGGGAGGGAGCGCGUCGGCGUCAGCGUGCGUGCCAUGCCCAUGCCCAUGCGUGCCUGUGUCAGUGUCUCUCUGUGUCUAUGUGCGUGCAGCUGUGGCCGUCUGCGGCAAAAAGAGAGGGGGCCGGCGGGGCUGUGAGUGGGUCUGAGAGGGCCUGCGUCCCCCUACCUCUCCGUGUAAACAUGGGCCGAG